AUGUGCGGGAAUCUGUCAUCUAUAUCUUCCAACUUCUGGUGGGGUGAAGCAAAUGGUAAGAAGAAGGUGCAUUGGAUCGCCUGGGAUAAGAUGUGCACGAGGAAACGGGGGGGACUUGGUUUCCGAGAUUCAGAGGCGUUCAAUCAAGCCAUGCUCGCCAAACAAGCUUGGCGUCUGUUCCAGGAGCCGAACUCGUUGUGUGCUAGGGUACUGCAGGCCCGGUAUUACGUGGAUGGUUCUAUCCUAAACGCCACAUGCCCGGGGUGUUCAUACACCUUCAGAAGCAUCAUCCAUGGCCGCGACUUGCUGCUAGAUGGGCUGAUAUGGCGAGUAGGAGAUGGGUCGAAGAUCAAUGUGCAUCACGCGAACUGGAUUCCUAGGCAGGGUAGUUUGAAGCCACUGGGCCAAAACUACGUCAGUGGGAUCACGCGAGUCAGCGAUCUGUUGAGGCCUGACGGGGUAUCAUGGGAUGUUGACAAAGUACAGAACAUGUUUGCUCCAGAUGAAGCACUCGAGAUCCUUCACAUCCCAGUGGGGGGCCGGAGAUGGAAGACUACCAGGCAUGGAACUACACCAAAAACGGAGUUUUCACGGUCAGGUCGGCGUAUCACUUGCGGAUGA
rnacentral:rRNA from 1 species